UGGGGAAUAUUUCACAAUUGGCGCAAGCCUGAUGCAGCCAUGCCGCGUGUGUGAAGAAGGCCUUCGGGUUGUAAAGCACUUUCAGCGGGGAGGAAGGCGAUAAGGUUAAUAACCUUGUCGAUUGACGUUACCCGCAGAAGAAGCACCGGCUAACUCCGUUCCAGCAGCCGCGGUAAUACGGAGGGUGCAAGCGUUAAUCGGAAUUACUGGGCGUAAAGCGCACGCAGGCGGUCUGUCAAGUCGGAUGUGAAAUCCCCGGGCUCAACCUGGGAACUGCAUUGGAAACUGGCAGGCUAGAGUCUUGUAGAGGGGGGUAGAAUUCCAGGUGUAGCGGUGAAAUGCGUAGAGAUCUGGAGGAAUACCGGUGGCGAAGGCGGCCCCCUGGACAAAGACUGACGCUCAGGUGCGAAAGCGUGGGGAGCAAACAGG
rnacentral:rRNA from 1 species